rnacentral:lncRNA from 1 species
UUUAAUAGAUCGGGUUCCCAAAUCAGAGUACAAAAUUAAAAAUCGAUAUCUUGGCUAGAUAUUUUAGAAAACGAUGACGUGGUAAAAUACGAGUUAAAUAGUCAAGGCACCAACGCUCGUGAUUCCUCGAACUCCACUCCGCCGGUUUCCUAAAUAGCUUGGAGAACCUGAAAAGAUAAUUUGCAUAAAAGCAUGAGCCCAAACACUGGCUCAGUAAGGACAUUAGUCUUAGUCUGACGAACUCACGCCUCUCUCAUCGCAUCUCUCACGACCUAUGGGAAUCCUAAAAUCAUUCGUCUAUGUUCUUUCCAACUAAUUAGAUUAUCUCUAUUCAUCAUCAUAAACCGUGAAAUACAAGCACGUCACACAUAUUCAAGCACAUAAUAACACAUAUACGCACAUAAUAUGGUUUUCUUUCGAAAACUAUUUGAAAAUCAUUUCGGAAAUCUUUCUUGUAAAUUAGUGCAUAAUCUACUAGGAAAUCCGUGUUAGACAUAAAAUCCCUUUCAACGAAAUUAUCCUUUUUAAACAAAACGGAAUUUCUUUUAAAAGAAAAUCAUUUUUCUUCCAAAAUCAUUUUUAUGCGUAGAUGCGUAUGACGGGAUCCCUAUCAAAACCUUAACGUAAGCAUCGGCAAUAGACGUUUAUAUGCUGAGCCCGAUCAUUCGGUGGGAGCUAACCACCCUAUAGUUCUAUAGUAACUGUUGUUGGGAUACCGGCCCCCCGUAUCCCGUGUCUAUUCAACCGUAGCAACGUCACAAUUUUGACCUUUCUAUAGUAGACCAUGCAAUACCAAUUAAUGACUCGAUGAAUGCAGGCAAGUCGAUGAUCUUAAUAGCAACACGAUAAUAAUUCCAAUUAUAUCAUUCAUAUAUUUUGAAGGAGUUAAAUCACAUAAUUCGGAAGUAAUUUCCGAGGAUAUAGUAAGCACAUAUAGAUCAGACAUUAGUAAUAAAGACACAUAUACUUGUACACGUAUACACACAUAGGUACUUAUAUGCAUAUAUAUACCUAUACCUAUACGUAUAUACUCUAAUUUAUAACUAUGGAUUAUAAGUUUCCUCAACACGAAGGGAGUACGCCUAUAACAUCAUAGGUCUAAACUAUCGAUAUACAUAUAAAUAUACUUAUACAUAUACAUACUUAUACCUCACAAGCGUAAAUCACAUAAUUCAAAUACACAUAAUGAAAUUCAUCGCUUCUUAUUUAAAGAAUCAUCGGGAAAUCUAAUUCAUUAUAAGUACUAGCACAUAGUAAGAUCAAAGAACAACUUAGUAUUCUAAUCAUAGAUUAGUCUAAGAAUAUUUCUUAGAUGUAGCUCAAUACUCAUGGGAAACUUCAUCUAUGUUCAAUUAUGUUAAGUUGUGCCUCAAGAGUUUAAACCAUGCUCACAAAGGACCCUUUAAUUCAAGUAGUUUACCUUUUUAGGAAAAUCGGGCAGUUUUGACACUUUUAACUUUAAAAAUACAUAUCUCUUAGGCCAUAACUUCAAAAAUUCUGAAUCUUUAAAAAACUACUCCUGUAUCAGUGGAAAAAAUUCCUUUAAAACAGUUUUCCAAAAUAACCAGUAUCCUAAGAGAAAUAAGUAAAACAGUACAGUAGUAUGGUCACACUUUCAGAAACAGAACCAACCACUUUAAAAUUACCCAAUAAAUCAAACUUUUGUUAAAACACUGCACAUCUUUGUCGAAGACUGGUUUUAUAAGUUAUAAAUCCAUUCCAAGUGGAAUUAAAGAAGUUAACUAGGAAAAACAUCGAUUUUAAAAGCAAAUUCUCAGCUGACUCAAAAACUGUACAGGUUUAGUAAAUAAUUCAUAUCUUAACCAUCUGAAAUCCGAUUGAUGAUUGAAAUAUAUCAAAUUAAAGAGAACAGAAAGAUCUAGUUACCCAUAAACUUUCGUGAUUUUUGGAAAACAGGGCAUCUGUGAAACAUGCAGUAAACUCUGAGACUGAAAACCUGAAAAUUCAUUAGUAAUCUAUAUCUACAUCUUUGAUCAAAACAGAUCUGGCAGUUUAGGCACUAUAACUUCAGAAACUCAUAUCUCCUAAAAAGUAGAUCCAAACCUGAUGAAAUUCGGAACACAUGUUCAUAUCUAAGUCUAGUUUAUAGGGUUAAAACAGUUUAUGAAGAAACUCAUCUAUGUAAGAGAUAUAGUCAAUUUAGUGCAGUAACAUAAGCAGAAAUUCAGAACAGAUCCACUAACUUUAAAAAUACCAAAUAAUUCAUCACUUAAUCCAAAAGUUACCCAAUUUUGUAGAAUAUUCGUUUCAUAAGUACAUAUCAUAUUCGAGUGAAAUCACUUCAAUAAGGGUAGUAUAAAAAGCUAUUUAACACAUAAUUCGUGGAUGACUCCGAAACUGUGCAGAUUCAGAAAACGAUUCAUAACUCACUCAAUACAAAUCCGAUUUAUGCAUAAUUUAUAUCCACAUGAAGCUAACCGAAAGAUAUAGACUACCAUAAAAUUUCAUAAUUUUAUCUUAGGGAUUACCCGAUGAGACAUGCAAUACAAUCAGAAGCUACGAAACUGAAAUUCAAUUAGUGUUCAUCAAGAACUUUAUCUUCUAAAGCCCAAAAUUAAAACUACUAACAUAUAAUUCAUUAAAACCCAUAUAAUUUAUAUUAAUUAGGUUAUUAUUUCAGUAAAGACCAAGGUCCUUACCCAAGAGCAAGAAAUCAAAGAUGAAGGAGUAAGAAAACCCAAGGCUCGGUGGAUAUUCGGCGGGUUUGGCUUGGAUGUUCUUGGAUGGCUUUGGGGCUGAGUUUGAAGGAUGUGAAGGGGCUGUUGCUUGAAGAUAGAAGAUGGAGUUUCUCUUUUCGAGAGGAGGAGAGGAAUUGAAGAGAGAAGAGGAAGGGGCUUUGAUGGGAGCUUCUUGACUCGAAGGGGAAGAAGAGAAUUCUUCUUUGGGGCUGUUUUUGCUCGAUGGAGAGGGAGAGGAGAGGGCCUUUUGGCUGAUGUUUUGGUGUGAAGAGAAUGUGAAGAGGAGGGGUUUAUUUAUAGGGGAGAUGAGGCCCUUAUUUGCAAUAUAAAAGACAUUGGGGUUCUAUUAGCAAUUUGGGAGAACAUACCUUGGGGGCUUCUUAACAAUAUAGAAGAGAAGAGGGGAGUCCUUAGUAAUUAAUCAACUUAGGGAGCAACUCACUUUCCCUCACACACACCACACGGCCAAUACACACACUAAAACAUAUAAUUCAUAUAAAUUCCAUAGGAUACCAAUUAAACUAUAACGAAAACUAAUUUCACAUCAUCUCAAUCCUAGAUUAAUUAUCAAUUAAAGCACAUCAUUAAAAUCCAUGACUAAAGCACAUAAUUCAUUAAAUCACAUAAUUAGAAUCAACUACUCAAUUAAUAAUAAUGUCUACUUCUAAAAAUACUAUAAUGUAUCUAAAUCACAUAAACACAUAGAGAACGUACAAAUUGCUACGCGAUUCAUGAAAUGCAUGUAUAUUCGUAUUUACUAUAUGUUCAAUAUAAUCAUAUGUAAAUGCUUAUGAAAAUGCGGGCUGUUACAAUCUUCCCCCCUUAAAUAAAUUUUGUCCUCAAAAUUUGAAAAGUUUCCGUAAAAGACGAUGAGACCAAGUUACAACAUAGCGUUUCUUGAAUAGGGGUUAACAAUAAUUAGGAAAACGUCUUCCUACCUUUUCAAAAGUUCGCCUUGAUUCCAAAAUAUUUUGUAAAUAAAUAGGAAACAUGCUUCUUGUAAAAAUUCCGGUAAGAGUUUUAGCACUACUAUGAUAGCCUUUAGGGAAAAUAGUAACCGAGUCGAGUUGAAAAUUCUAAUUAUCAUAAAAACAAAACUCAAUUUUGAAAUAUUUUAAAAAUUUCUCUUACCUUCUUUUGAAAUGUUUUGAACACCUCUGGGAUGCAUGAUAUGAAAGCGUUGUAUGAUAUGCAACAAUAAUCUUAUCUAGUUCUUAUAUGCACAUAAGGUUUACAUGAACACAUAGUAUCAUAAACCCAUAAACAUCUAAUAUGCAAGACAUGAUAUAGUUUAAGCUAAUGAAUCCAUUUAUACUACGAACAAGUUAUAAACCAAUCAGUUGUAAAUUUGUAGAUAAUCACAUAGAUUUGUACAAACAUAAAUCAGGAAUAAAUUCACUACCAACUUCAAAGUUAUACAUUUCUAGAAAACUCAUUUCCUAUAAAACAAAAGUUUGCAUGCAUUUUUGAAAAUAUGCAAAUCAAAUCAGUGCGCUUUUUAUGUAUUUCAUGAAUGCACCAUUAAGAAUGCACCUAAGUUUCACACAAGAUACAGAUCAUCCACUUCAAUACAUGGCACCGCAUAUAUCCACAUAGAUUCUACCAAAAAUGUUAGAUGCAACUAUACUCUAAAAUGCACACACAUGAUUCAUAUAGUAAGAAUUUAACUUUCAAAUUUCUACCCAUGCAUAUCUUAUCGAACAAAAAAAUUUUCAAACCCUUUGCUUAAAAGAAAUAUCAAAAUUCAGAAUCCUUCUGAAUCCAAAUAUCAUCAAGCAUUCAUCUGUUUUAGAAAAACAAACUUUCGAAAGUCAUCAUUUGAAAAAUAAUUUCUAUAAUUGACCCAUCCAAAAGAGUCAAUCAAAGUGAUUAACAUGCUAGUAAAUAAUUUCAUUAUGAUGCAUAUAAUAAAUCACUCAGGCAUAUGGCAUGGACUCAAGUAUAUCACAUAAUGCACGAAACUCACUACCAAAGAACACAUUAUUCAUAAAAUUCAAUUUCAAUUCUCAAAAUCUCAAUUAAGUCAUAUAUUAUCCUACCGUUAACUUCGAAUAUCCGAAUUUCGAAAAUCAAAGUAUCGCACAUAGUUGGGACCAUAGAAAUACAGGUACAUGAGUUUUAAGAAAAUUCAAGAUAAGUUUUAUCAUAAAGCUGCGUCUAUUUUGAAACAAAAUAUUUUAUCAACAUCGUGAAUAAUUUAAAACGUGCCUCUUUCAAUCACCAACAAAGUUGAGAGGUUUAUCAAAAAGAACUUCGAGAUCUUAAAAUUAGAAACCGGUCUCAACUAUUUUCGAGAAAACACUUUUAAAGAAGUAUAUACUUAUAAAUUCAAAAUUAUGAAAUAUCAAAGUAUAAUAAUUUACUAAGAAAACUUGACUAUGCACAUAGUUCACAUAAUUUCACAUAGUCAAAAUAACAAAUAUCAAAAUCUAAAGGCAACUAGCUCGAUUAGAUUCUAUAGACACCUAGUUUGGUCCAAAUUAUCAAUUACAUGAAUCGAUGGGAAUCUUCGAAAAUAAUUUAGUCACAAAUAUGCAAUUAUCAAGAAAUCUGAACGUCAUAAAUGCAAAUAGCAUACACAUAUGCAUACAGAGGUAUGAGAUUAAUUAAUCCACACCCGUAGAAAAAUCAUGUAAUUCAUAUAUAUAUGAAUUUAAAUUGCACAUGUACUUAAUUUGUUAACAAAAGUCGAUCAUACUUUGUCACAUAAACUACCAUACAUGUCACAUAAUAUUAAUAGCACACUUAGUCAACUAUUUCAGGAAAUCGAACAUAUAAGAUAGAUUAACCAAGAAAUGGGCAUAUGACAAGAACUAGUGAGAAAUCUAUAGUAUAUCACAUAAUUCUUUACCGAUGAGAUUCACGAAGUUGUAAAGUGACCUUAAAAUAAUUUGAAUUAAACUUCAUCGAGGGACAUCAUGCUUAAUUCUCACAUUCGCAUUGUUCAAGUAUGUUUAAGUAAACCAGGAUUAAUGCGAUCUAACCUUAUAUAUAAGGUACACAUAACUAAUUUAUUUAUACACCCAUUAAUUCAAUUGCUAUACUCCUAGAUCAUCAAGUCCAUUCAAAAUAAGUUAGAGACAACAAUUCAUACCAACCACUUCGUUCAAGUAAAUUCAAGGAAAAAUUCAAGAAAACGAGUUUCUCUUAUCAAGAGAAUUUCUUUUUAAAUUAAAAUCCAACUUAGUGAAAGUUUGAAAGUUUUAUUGAAAAUUCUUACUUGAUUGAAAAAUGGGUUCUAUUCCUAAAACUUCGAAAGUUCAAUCAUUACACAAUCAUCAUGACUUUAGAUCUUCCAAUUAAACAAACGUGCAUAAUCAACAAGCACAAAGGUAGAGCAUAAAUCAAAAAAAAAUAUUUAUCAAUUAAACAAAAUAUCAAAUACUUUCCAAAUUUAUUUUAUGGAAACGAAUAUUUUUCAAUACACUAAAUAAUUCCACAUGCAAAUCUCAAUCAACGAUAUUAUAGCAUGGAAUUUUCAAAGAAGGUUUGAAUCACUUAACCAAUUAUAAAUCACAUAAAACUUAGUUCUAAAUCAGAACGUAAAAUAUCAAACAUUUCGGGGUACUUAUCUCAAUUAUUUGAUCAACAAUAUGGCAUACACCAAAUUACAUAAAACUUCAAAAUCACAUAAAUUAUCUGCACCUCAUUACUCAUAUUACAUAGUGCAAUUAAGAGAUUGUAAAUCUUACUACGAUCAACUCGAGAUAUAGUCAAUGAGUAAAUUUAUAUAAAAUUCUAAGUUCUCUAAUUCAAGUCCUUAUAACUAAGAAUCAUACCUUAUUACUUAGGCCGGGAAUGGGAGGAGGAAUCACAUGUGCCUUGAGCCAUAACGAGGAACCCAGUCUAUUAAACACUGCUUUGAUACCACGUUGUAGCACCCUCAAUGAUUUAAAAGAAAUUUUAGAAAACACGGACUUUAUUAAAGACUUUUGGAACAAAUUUGAACUUUGAGAAAAACCACUUUAAAAUUUUAGAACCAUUUCCCUUUACUUCAAAUCUAACCCACAAUCAGAAAAUAAGAUUUUUCAUAGAGAGUGUACCAUAACAUGAACGGGAUUUUGAAAAUAAUCUCGAGGUGGCGGAAUAAUCCACAUAAAACAUCACCGGGGUUUAGAAAACACUCGUAAGACAGCGGAAGGAAAUAAACUUUAUUUAAGAUACCCCCGUUUAAUAGAUCGGGUUCCCAAAUCAGAGUACAAAAUAAAAAAUCGAUAUCUUGGCUAGAUAUUUUAGAAAACGUUGACGUGGUAAAAUACGAGUUAAAACGCUCGUGAUUCCUCGAACUCCACUCCGCCGGUUUCCUAAAUAGCUUGGAGAACCUGAAAAGAUAAUUUGUAUAAAAGCAUGAGCCCAAACACUGGCUCUGUAAGGACAUUAGUCUUAGUCUGACGAACUCACGCCUCUCUCAUCGCAUCUCUCACGACCUAUGGGAAUCCUAAAAUCAUUCGUCUAUGUUCUUUCCAACUAAUUAGAUUAUCUCUAUUCAUCAUCAUAAACCGUGAAAUACAAGCACGUCACACAUAUUCAAGCACAUAAUAACACAUAUACGCACAUAAUAGGGUUUUGUUUCGAAAACUAUUUGAAAAUCAUUUCGGAAAUCUUUCUUGUAAAUUAGUGCAUAAUCUACUAGGAAAUCCGUGUUAGACAUAAAAUCCCUUUCAACAAAAUUAUCCUUUUUAAACAAAACGGAAUUUCUUUUAAAAGAAAAUCAUUUUUCUUCCAAAAUCAUUUUUAUGCGUAGAUGCGUAUGACGGGAUCCCUAUCAAAACCUUAACGUAAGCAUCGGCAAUAGACGUUUAUAUGCUGAGCCCGAUCAUUCGGUGGGAGCUAACCACCCUAUAGUUCUAUAGUAACUGUUGUUGGGAUACCGGCCCCCCGUAUCCCGUGUCUAUUCAACCGUAGCAACGUCACAAUUUUGACCUUUCUAUAGUAGACCAUGCAAUACCAAUUAAUGACUCGAUGAAUGCACGCAAGUCGAUGAUCUUAAUAGCAACACGAUAAUAAUUCCAAUUAUAUCAUUCAUAUAAUUCGAAGGAGUUAAAUCACAUAAUUCGGAAGUAAUUUCCGAGGAUAUAGUAAGCACAUAUAGAUCAGACAUUAGUAAUAAAGACACAUAUACUUGUACACGUAUACACACAUAGGUACUUAUAUGCAUAUAUAUACCUAUACCUAUACGUAUAUACUCUAAUUUAUAACUAUGGAUUAUAAGUUUCCUCAACCCGAAGGGAGUACGCCUAUAACAUCAUAGGUCUAAACUAUCGAUAUACAUAUAAAUAUACUUAUACAUAUACAUACUUAUACCUCACAAGCGUAAAUCACAUAAUUCAAAAUACACAUAAUGAAAUUCAUCGCUUCUUAUUUAAAGAAUCAUCGGGAAAUCUAAUUCAUUAUAAGUACUAGCACAUAGUAAGAUCAAAGAACAACUUAGUAUUCUAAUCAUAGAUUAGUCUAAGAAUAUUUCUUAGAUGUAGCUCAAUACUCAUGGGAAACUUCAUCUAUGUUCAAUUAUAUUAAGUUGUGCCUCAAGAGUUUAAACCAUGCUCACAAAGGACCCUUUAAUUCAAGUAGUUUACCUUUUUAGGAAAAUCCGGCAGUUUUGACACUUUUAACUUUAAAAAUACAUAUCUCUUAGACCAUAACUUCAAAAAUUCUGAAACUUUAACACAAUACUCCUGUAUCAGUGGCAUAGAUUCCUUUAAAACAGUUUUCCAAAAUAACCAGUAGCCUAAGAGAAAUAAGUAAAACACUACAGUAGUAUGGUCACACUUUCAGAAACAGAACUAACCACUUUAAAAAUACCCAAUAAAUCAAACUUUUGUUAAAACACUGCACAUCUUUGUCGAAGACUGGUUUUAUAAGUUAUAAAUCCAUUCCAAGUGGAAUUAAAGAAGUUAACUAGGAAAAACAUCGAUUUUAAAAGCAAAUCUCAGCUGACUCAAAAACUGUGCAGGUUUAGUAAAUAAUUCAUAUCUUAAUCAUCUGAAAUAUAUCAAAUUAAAGAGAACAGAAAGAUCUAUUUACCCAUAAACUUUCGUGAUUUUUGGAAAACAGGGCAUCUGUGAAACAUGCAGUAAACUCCGAAACUGAAAACCUGAAAAUUCAUUAGUAAUCUAUAUCUACACCUUUGAUCAAAACAGAUCUGGCAGUUUAGGCACUAUAACUUCAGAAAUUCAUAUCUCCUAAACAGUAGAUACAAACCUGAUGACAUUUGGAACACAUGUUCAUAUCUGGGUCGUGUUUAUAGGGUUAAAACAGUUUAUGAAGAAACUCAUCUAUGUAAGAGAUAUAAUCAAUUUAGUGCAGUAACAUAAGCAGAAAUUCAGAACAGAUCCACUAACUUUAAAAAUACCAAAUAAUUCAUCACUUAAUCCAAAAGUUACCCAAUUUUGUAGAAUAUUAGAUUCAUAAGUACAUAAUCAUAUUCGAGUGAAAUCACUUCAAUAAGGGUAGUAUAAAAAGCUAUUUAACACAUAAUUCGUGGAUGACUCCGAAACUGUGCAGAUUCAGAAAACGAUUCAUAACUCACUCAAUACAAAUCCGAUUUAUGCAUAAUUUAUAUCCACAUGAAGCUAACCGAAAGAUCUAGAAUACCAUAAAAUUUCAUAAUUUUAUCUUAGGGAUUACCCGAUGAGACAUGCAAUACAAUCAGAAGCUACGAAACUGAAAUUCAAUUAGUGUUCAUCAAGAACUUUAUCUUCUAAAGCCCAAAAUUAAAACUACUAACAUAUAAUUCAUAAAAACCCAUAUAAUUUAUAUUAAUUAGGUUAUUAUUUCAGUAAAGACCAAGGUCCUUACCCAAGAGCAAGAAAUCGAAGAUGAAGGAGUAAGAAAACCCAAGGCUCGGUGGAUUUUCGGCGGGUUUGGCUUGGAUGUUCUUGGAUGGCUUUGGGGCUGAGUUUGAAGGAUGUGAAGGGGCUGUUGCUUGAAGAUAGAAGAUGGAGUUUCUCUUUUCGAGAGGAGGAGAGGAAUCGAAGAGAGAAGAGGAAGGGGCUUUGAUGGGAGCUUCUUGACUCGAAGGGGAAGAAGAGAAUUCUUCUUUGGGGCUGUUUUUGCUCG